CUACGGGGUGCUGCAGUGGGGAAUAUUGCACAAUGGGCGCAAGCCUGAUGCAGCAACGCCGUGUGAGUGAUGAAGGUCUUCGGAUUGUAAAACUCUGUCCUAUGGGAAGAAAAAAAUGACGGUACCAUAGGAGGAAGCCCCGGCUAACUACGUGCCAGCAGCCGCGGUAAUACGUAGGGGGCAAGCGUUAUCCGGAAUCACUGGGCGUAAAGGGUGCGUAGGCGGCCUAUCAAGUCAGAGGUGAAAGGCAUUGGCUCAACCAAUGUAAGCCUUUGAAACUGUUAGGCUUGAGUGCAGGAGAGGUAAGUGGAAUUCCUAGUGUAGAGGUGAAAUUCGUAGAUAUUAGGAGGAACACCAGUGGCGAAGGCGACUUACUGGACUGUAACUGACGCUGAGGCACGAAAGCGUGGGGAGCGAACAGGAUUAGAUACCCUCGUAGUC
rnacentral:rRNA from 1 species